UCCGGUUUGACACCGGCAGUCUCCCUAGAGUGCCCGGCAUAACCCGCUGGUAACUAGGGACGAGGGUUGCGCUCGUUGCGGGACUUAACCCAACAUCUCACGACACGAGCUGACGACAGCCAUGCAGCACCUGUGCACGGACUCCGAAGAGGAACCGAUGUUUCCACCGGCUUUCCCGUGCAUGUCAAGCCCAGGUAAGGUGGGGAUGACGUUCGUCUGAC
rnacentral:misc_RNA from 1 species